GAUAAAGUGGCUGAGGAUAGGCGGUAGAUUGUAAAUCUAUUAACAAGUUAAAACUUCUUUAUUA
rnacentral:tRNA from 1 species